rnacentral:rRNA from 1 species
UACAGAGACUGCAAGCGCUAUUCGGAUUCACUGGGCGUAAAGGGUGCGCAGGCGGCCGUGUGUGUCAGGUGUGAAAGCCCGGAGCUUAACUCCGGAAUUGCGCCUGAAACUACAUGGCUAGAGCAUUGGAGAGGGUAGCGGAAUUCACGGUGUAGCAGUGAAAUGCGUAGAUAUCGUGAGGAACACCAGAGGCGAAGGCGGCUACCUGGACAAUUGCUGACGCUCAGGCACGAAAGCGUGGGGAGCAAAAGGG